GCGGAAAAAAUGGAAAAAGAAAAUUUUUUUUUUUUGAUUGUAAACUCUUUUGGUUUUGAUAUAAGACGGUUGGGAAUUGGUCCAGUGAUCGUUCCUUUAGUCCUAUAAGCUUGAGGCAGGAUUAGGUGGACCGUAGAUUCUAGCGUGGGACCCUAGGUAGAUUGACCGCACUUAAAUUAAAUUUACAUGAUAAGGGCUUGAGAUUGGAUUCGGGUUUAAGGGGACAAAUAUAUUCACAAUCGCGACUAACGCAAGUUUUGGUUUUAAUAAAGUAUACUAUGUUUUUGACCCGAGUGAUUAUUUAUCUCUGAUUCCAUUGCAUGAGUCUUUUUCAGGGACAAAAAAAUGUUAAGUGUGGGGAUAUUUGAUGUGGGGUAAAAUACACAAAUUUGUCCCGUGUAAAUUGUCUUGGUGUAAAUGGAGCGAAAACGAGUAAUAUGGAAAUGAUCAGCCAGUUGGGAAGAGUGGGGUGCCAAUGACCGAAGGAAAUUCGCUGCUAUUUUUUAUGAUUGGGUCGAGACCACUUAUCUCUAUAUUAUAAAAUAAAACAAAAGAAAAAAAAGCUCCACACAAUAUAUUGUUGUUUAUGGACUGCAUUCCAUGAUAUUUAAUUAAAUCGAAUAUUGGGCCAACAAAUUGUGAAGUUGUGAAUAUUAUCGUGAGCAUGGAAUUAUUAAAUCUCAUGGGCUCGUGGCUUUUAGCCAUUUAGUGGGCACGGUUUUUUUUAUGGGCUGGACGGUACAUAUCGACGGAGAGACCCCACUAUUACAAGGGGGGCGGCUGUUAAUAGGCGAUCAUCAGAGGCACGAGCAGAAACAUUCAGGGACGAAAUUUCAAAUACUUUUUGGCAAGGUUCACGGCUAGAGAACUAUUGGGAUCGAAAGAGGGGAGCUUGGAAGUCAAAGAAUUUACGGGUUCUUUUAUUUUCUAGUUUCUUUUAUUCUAUGUCAAUGAAUUCUUGUUUGGGACUUUGUUUGAUUGUUUUUAAGACCAUGAUCGGCUAAACAUUUAAGCCACCUAGACUUAGUUGAAUGGAUUGAAUAAAGUUUUUAC
rnacentral:lncRNA from 1 species